UCAGAGCAAAAAUCCAAGCCAUGAGGUUCAAGGAAUUGUCUGUAGACCACCAUUACAGGAUUGUAUCGAGGCACAGAUCUGGGGAAGGAAGUGAAUACUUUCCGGAUGCACUGUAUAGUCACUGUAGUCAAAUUAUCAUUCAAACUAAAUGCAGAUCUUGUUUUAGGCUGCUGGGAGAGAGGUUCCCACAGAGGUGUGUAGCGUUUUAUCAGCUAGUGCAGCACUGCAUUCUCUAGUCAUGAGGUGCAGUAACUGAUGGCAGAUGGUGGCUGUUGGCAUUUGUACCCGGCUGGCGCACAGACUGAGUAACGGAAAGCUCGGUGUGAGGCACAAACAGCUCUCACUCGACACUUUAAACCAACCAUGUAGGACAAUAUCAUAACCAGACUCAAAAAAUUAUUUUUUGACAGUGGAUUAGUCCAUAUAGUUUCAGAUAUAAUGUCACAUAUAAGAAGAAUCAUUGUAAGAUCACCUUGGGUUGUGUUAUCUAAUGCCCUUGAAGGUGUUAGCAUCCGUUUUGCUUACUUACUGAAUUCAAGAGCCAGACUUUUCAAGCGGAUUUCCUGUAGGACAGAAGAUCUAAAGCAGAUGAGCAGAAAUUAUUUUUUUCAGGGUUCUCAGGGAACAUCAGCUUUGAGUUCUGCAUUAGCGCAGUAAAUUUCCAGUGAAUUCAUUGAGACGUGAGAUAACCACAGCAGGUUGUAAAGUAAAUCAAACCCUGAUGUUGGUUUUGUCUGGUUGUACAUUGACAGAGGUCAAACACCAGGCAAAACACUGGGAAAACAGCACCAUCCAAAGUUUCAACAGAAAUUUCUAAUAAAUCAUCUUUAUUCAGGGCUUUUCAGAUGUUCUUUAUUUAACGCCAGUUUGUAGUGUGCAAAUACAUCUUUCUGGAACCCAACAAAAAAGCUGAAGGCAUGUGUUAUUUAUUUUGUUUGUCGUCAUAUUGUUUUGAACAUAAGAUAUACAUGAUUUUUAGUGUCCUUUGUAGAAGACAUAAGUACUCAGUUACAAAGAAAAUAAGGCAUUGUUUUCUUAAUUAAUAUUCUUCAAUAGCAUUACCUGUAACACUCCUCUGUUUCUUUCUUUUUUUUCCUUCUUUUUUUGCAAAGAUAAGGUUUAAUCAAUUUUAUCCACUGACCAGCUACAACAUUAAAACCACUUAUAUUGUGUAAGUUUCUUUCGUGCUUCUAAAACAACUUUGAUGUGUCAAGGCAUGGACUCCACAAGACCUCCGAAUUUGUCCUGUUUCUAGCACCAUUAGCAGCAGAUCCUUUAAAUUCUGUAAGUUGUGAGUUAAAUCUUUUGUAGCCUCUAAAAGGUGGUUCAAAAAAAAAUAUUAUAGAUAUUUUGGCAAAAUAAGAAAUAAUAAGAAAAAUGUACACAUCUCCAUUCUGUUCAAAAGUUUUCACCCCCCAGCUCUUAAUGCAUG